rnacentral:lncRNA from 1 species
UUCCAGGGAUAUCCAGCACAAUAUAUCCACAUUCUGAUUUUUUGUUGAUUUUUCUCUGAACCAGGUGGAUGUAGCUGUAGUGACCUUGAAGGCGUGCAUAAUCAUUAGGUGUCAAACCUGUGCUGUCCUGAGCACUUUUCCAUGCUUCAAUUGCCACCUGGACAAGGCACACAGUCAGGUCGGUACCGGAAGAGGAGCAUUAUUGUGGAUCUUAACCCAAGAAAAUCAAAAAACAUUGUGACAAAGAUAGAGACGGUCCAAAGAUAUCAAUCAGCAUUAGAGCAGUUCAAGUUCAGGAGUUAAGAUCAUAAAUCAGUAAAAUACAGAAAGAGGAUGUGGAGGGGCAGGCACAUAGGGAUUAUGAUUAUUAUACUCAAUAGCAUGCUUUCCAAUGACAAACAUAAUGCAUUAUGUUGAAAAUACAAAGAGAGACAUCAGGAGAUACCAAUCCAGGAUCAUCAGUUAAUGCAUCUAAAACAUUCUCGCAGCCUUCCCGACUAGCUACCAUGUGAAGAGGAGUCAACCCAGCAGGCCCGACAACAUUUGGUUUAAACAUAAAUCCAUAGUCGUUUCCAUCCACUGAUAGCUUCUGCUU